GUGCAUGGGGCAGCUAUAAUGCAGUCGUACGCUUCUUUUUCCACCGGAGCUUGCUCCACCGGAAAAAGAAGAGUGGCGAACGGGUGAGUAACACGUGGGUAACCUGCCCAUCAGAAGGGGAUAACACUUGGAAACAGGUGCUAAUACCGUAUAACAAUCGAAACCGCAUGGUUUUGAUUUGAAAGGCGCUUUCGGGUGUCGCUGAUGGAUGGACCCGCGGUGCAUUAGCUAGUUGGUGAGGUAACGGCUCACCAAGGCCACGAUGCAUAGCCGACCUGAGAGGGUGAUCGGCCACAUUGGGACUGAGACACGGCCCAAACUCCUACGGGAGGCAGCAGUAGGGAAUCUUCGGCAAUGGACGAAAGUCUGACCGAGCAACGCCGCGUGAGUGAAGAAGGUUUUCGGAUCGUAAAACUCUGUUGUUAGAGAAGAACAAGGAUGAGAGUAACUGUUCAUCCCUUGACGGUAUCUAACCAGAAAGCCACGGCUAACUACGUGCCAGCAGCCGCGGUAAUACGUAGGUGGCAAGCGUUGUCCGGAUUUAUUGGGCGUAAAGCGAGCGCAGGCGGUUUCUUAAGUCUGAUGUGAAAGCCCCCGGCUCAACCGGGGAGGGUCAUUGGAAACUGGGAGACUUGAGUGCAGAAGAGGAGAGUGGAAUUCCAUGUGUAGCGGUGAAAUGCGUAGAUAUAUGGAGGAACACCAGUGGCGAAGGCGGCUCUCUGGUCUGUAACUGACGCUGAGGCUCGAAAGCGUGGGGAGCAAACAGGAUUAGAUACCCUGGUAGUCCACGCCGUAAACGAUGAGUGCUAAGUGUUGGAGGGUUUCCGCCCUUCAGUGCUGCAGCUAACGCAUUAAGCACUCCGCCUGGGGAGUACGACCGCAAGGUUGAAACUCAAAGGAAUUGACGGGGGCCCGCACAAGCGGUGGAGCAUGUGGUUUAAUUCGAAGCAACGCGAAGAACCCUUACCAGGUCUUGACAUCCUUUGAUCACUUCUAGAGAUAGA
rnacentral:rRNA from 1 species